rnacentral:rRNA from 1 species
CAGUCGCCGCGGGAAAACGGAGGAUCCGAGCGUUAUCCGGAAUUAUUGGGUUUAAAGGGUGCGUAGGCGGAUAGAUAAGUCAGUGGUGAAAGACGGUGGCUCAACCAUCGCAGUGCCGUUGAUACUGUUUAUCUUGAAUAUGGAUGAGGUAGGCGGAAUGUGGCAAGUAGCGGUGAAAUGCAUAGAUAUGCCACAGAACACCGAUUGCGAAGGCAGCUUACCAAGGCAAAAUUGACGCUGAGGCACGAAAGCGUGGGGAUCGAACAGGAUUAGAUACCCCAGUAGUCCCUGUCUCUUAUAC